rnacentral:rRNA from 1 species
GACGAACGCUGGCGGCGUGCUUAACACAUGCAAGUCGAACGGAAAGGCCCUGCUUUUGUGGGGUGCUCGAGUGGCGAACGGGUGAGUAACACGUGAGUAACCUGCCCUUGACUUUGGGAUAACUUCAGGAAACUGGGGCUAAUACCGGAUAGGAGCUCCUGCUGCAUGGUGGGGGUUGGAAAGUUUCGGCGGUUGGGGAUGGACUCGCGGCUUAUCAGCUUGUUGGUGGGGUAGUGGCUUACCAAGGCUUUGACGGGUAGCCGGCCUGAGAGGGUGACCGGCCACAUUGGGACUGAGAUACGGCCCAGACUCCUACGGGAGGCAGCAGUGGGGAAUAUUGCACAAUGGGCGGAAGCCUGAUGCAGCAACGCCGCGUGCGGGAUGACGGCCUUCGGGCUGUAAACCGCUUUCGCCUGUGACGAAGCGUGAGUGACGGUAAUGGGUAAAGAAGCACCGGCUAACUACGU